rnacentral:lncRNA from 1 species
GCCGGCACUGUGAGAGUCUGAGUGGUCCUGAGGGAGCCCCCUACUCAGGAGCAAGACCCAAAAGGACACAGAGGCUGAGUGCGGAGACCUGGGACCUGCUGCGGCUCCCCCUGGACCGGGAGCAAAAUGGAGAGACCCACCACACAGGGGACUGGAGGGGUCCAAGCAGGGACUCGCUUCCUCUCCCCAUGAGGAGCAGGAAGUACCAGGAAGGUCCAGAUGCCAUUGAGAGGAGACCCCGGGAGGGUAGCCACUCUCCACUGGACAGUGCUGAUGUAAGGGUACAGGUGCCUC